rfam:Oligella urethralis DNF00040 contig013, whole genome shotgun sequence.
UGUCUCCUCCACCCUCCUCCUUUGGUGGAUUUGCCCGGAAUCUUUUGAUUCCGGGUUUUUUUU